AGGAUCAUUAUUGAAAUAAAACUCAGGUAGGGGGGGAGGUGGUUGUAGCUGGCCCCUAAUAAGGGCAUGUGCACACUGUCUCUUUCUCUUGCUUGUUUUUUUCAUUCUUUCCACUUGUGCACUGCUUGUAGGCAGCCUGACAUUGUUCAAGUUGUCUAUGAUUUUCUUUACAUACAUGUUGUACAGAAUGUGAUAAUAAUAAAAAGUAAUACAACUUUCAACAACGGAUCUCUUGGCUCUCGCAUCGAUGAAGAACGCAGCGAAAUGCGAUAAGUAAUGUGAAUUGCAGAAUUCAGUGAAUCAUCGAAUCUUUGAACGCAUCUUGCGCUCCUUGGUAUUCCGAGGAGCAUGCCUGUUUGAGUGUCAUUAAAUUCUGUCUAAACAUGCACUUGAGUGUGUUUUGGAUUGUGGGAGUGUCUGCUGGAUUCCUUAUAUAUGAGCCCAGCUCUCCUGAAAGACAUUAGCUUUGGAGGGAUGUGCCAAGUCACUUCUGCUUUUCCAUUGGUGUGAUAGAUGAAUAAACUUAUCUACGCCAGGAAAGCAGGUUGCAGGUGAUGCACUGUGAUCUCUCUGCUCUCUAAUUGACAUUUGUCUGAUAACUUGACCUCAAAUCAGGUAGGACUACCCGCUGAACUUAAGCAUAUCAAUAAGCGGAGGAAAAGAAACUAACAAGGAUUCCCCUAGUAACUGCGAGUGAAGAGGGAAGAGCUCAAAUUUGAAAUCUGGC
rnacentral:rRNA from 1 species